rnacentral:rRNA from 1 species
GAUGAACGCUGGCGGCAUGCCUAACACAUGCAAGUCGAACGGACCUUUAUUUUUGAGAGUUCCUUUAUAGAAAUUCUCAAAAAUACUGGUUAGUGGCGGACGGGUGAGUAACACGUUGGUACCUACCCUCUAGUGGGGAAUAACUUCGAGAAAUCGAGGCUAAUACCGCAUGUGGUCUACGGAUCAAAGCAGUAAAUGCGCUAGAGGAGGGCCUGCGUCUGAUUAGCUUGUUGGUGAGGUAAAAGCUCACCAAGGCGACGAUCAGUAGCUGGAUCGAGAGGUUGACCAGCCACACUGGGACUGAGAUACGGCCCAGACUCCUACGGGAGGCAGCAGUGAGGAAUCUUCCACAAUGGACGAAAGUCUGAUGGAGCAAUGCCGCGUGCAGGAUGACGGCCUUCGGGUUGUAAACUGCUUUAUAUGGGAAGAUUAUGUACGGUACCGAUAUGAAUAAGACCGGCUAACUACGUGCCAGCAGCCGCGGU